rnacentral:rRNA from 1 species
GGGUGAGUAAUGCAUAGGAAUCUACCUAGUAGUAUGGGAUAGCCACUAGAAAUGGUGGGUAAUACUGUAUAAUCCCUGCGGGGGAAAGAUUUAUCGCUAUUAGAUGAGCCUAUGUUAGAUUAGCUAGUUGGUAGGGUAAAGGCCUACCAAGGCAGUGAUCUAUAGCUGGUCUGAGAGGAUGAUCAGCCACACUGGAACUGAGAUACGGUCCAGACUCCUACGGGAGGCAGCAGUGGGGAAUAUUGGACAAUGGGCGCAAGCCUGAUCCAGCUAUGCCGCGUGAGUGAGGAAGGCCUUAGGGUUGUAAAACUCUUUCAGUGGGGAAGAUAAUGACGGUACCCACAGAAGAAGUCCCGGCAAACUCCGUGCCAGCAGCCGCGGUAAUAC